AUGGAUGGAUGGACGGAGGGAUGGAUGGAAAGCCGGCAGGCGGACGGCGCCCCGCUCCCGCAGCCGGGGCGGGGGGCGACGGCAAAGCUCCGCGGCAGCGAAGGGGGGCGCCCCCUUUGUCUCAGCCACCCACCUCCCCCCCCCCCGCCCCCUCACCGGGAGCGCCCCGGGGGCGGGCCCCCGCCCGCCGGCAGCUGCGGGCAGAGCCGCCGGGCAGGCGGCGCCGCCGGCCGCCCCCGGAGCAUGUGCUCUCUCUCUCCCCCCCCCCCGCCUUCCCCGGAGCGCUGCCUUACCUGGCAACCAGGGCGGGCGCUGCCGGCUCGUCCUUCAGCCUCUCCCCGCGGCAGCGGCACCACGCGCGCCCGGGCCCCUCCCGGGGCGAGGCUGCGGUGGGUGCGCGGCGGACCGCCCCCGCGCACGGCGGGCAGGCUGCCCCAGCCCCCGGCGCUCGGCGGGCCGGGCGUUAAGUUUGAGCGGCGGCGGCCGCCGGCGGCGGGCAGGGCAGGGCGAGGCAGGGCAGGGCGGGGAGGCGGAGGCGGCACCGGGGGCUGCGCGGCGCCGGGAGCGCCGCCACACUGCAGCGCCUCUAGGAAUCCCUCCCGCGAGAGGCAGCCCAUCACCCCCGGCCCGCCGCCCUCAUUGGCCGGGGGGCGGGGAGACGGAACGCGCCAGCCAAUCGCCCGGCGCCCAGCAUGGGUGGAGCCGCCGCGCCGGCCUCGCCCAUCCCGCCGCCGCGCGGUCCCUGUCCGCCCCGUCGGGCGGGGCCGGCAGCGGCAGGCGGGGGAGGAGGGGGAUGAGGAGGAGGAGGAGGAUGAUGAUGAUGAUGAUGAGGAGGAGGAUGAUAAUGAGGAUGAGGAGGGUAUCCCCGCGCAUGGCGGCCAGGGCUGGCACCGCGGCCCCCCCGCGUUGUGCCACAGCCGCGGCGACCGUCGGGUGACCUGGAUGCCCCGGGCCGGGCGCAGCGCUGGCCCCGGGCGUGAGGGCAGCGGGCGGCGGCGGCCGCCUCCCCGGCAGGGGCUGCCGCUGCCCCCCGGUCCUCGAUACUUUUCGCGGGGCUGCGGUGCGCGGCCCUGGCGCAGGGCGGGCCCGUGGGCAGCCCGCCCCGGGCAGUCGCGACUGAGGGGUGAGUCGCGAUUGGCGUCCGUGGCUUAG
rnacentral:lncRNA from 1 species